AGGAAGACGCGACCAAAGAUGACAUGGAAGGUGUUGAUGCUAUCGUUCUUCAGCGGGCUUUUAGGGGGUACGAUAUCGCAAAAUCUGUAUCUAUCAUGUGUUCGUAUUACAUCUGCAACCUUUGCUUCAGCAAUGACUAAUCUCAUACCGGCAAUCACAUUUAUUCUGGCAGUCCUCUUCAGAUUGGAGAGUUUAGCUGUUCUUACUGUGUCUGGGCAAGCCAAAGCUUUAGGAACACUUACAGGCGUUGGUGGCGCCAUGCUCCUCACCUUUUACAAGGGAGCAACCAUUAAUCUCUGGUCCACACAUAUCGAUCUUCUCAGGUCUCAUAACGAUGAAGGAGGAGCUCAACCACAACCUCAACAGGACUCGGGCAACCAUGUCAUGGGCUCGUUGUUUGCGGUCAUAAGCUGCUUAUCCUACGCGAUGUGGUUGAUCAUUCAGGUGAGGUGACAAAAGAUACGAGUUGCGGUUUGUUUAGUUGUAUGAUUGAGAGCUUGCUGUUGCAGACAAGGAUGAGCAAACAAUACCCUUGUCAUUACACGGGCACAGCGUUGUUGUGCUUCAUGGCAGCAGUGCAAUCUGUAGUUUAUGCCCUCUGUGGAGAGAGAAGUAUGAGCAGCUGGAGAAUGCGGUUGGAUGUGAGGCUUCUUACGACAAUCUA